GUUUUACUUUCCCGACCGGAAUGAAUGUUAGCGGCCGCGCGUUCGCCCUUACCCGCUUCACUGAAGCAUAUCAAUAAGCGGAGGAAAAGAAACCAACAGGGAUUGCCUCAGCUAGCGAGCGAGUGGAGCGGCGACAGCUCAAAUUUGAAAUCUGGCUCUUUUAGGGUCCGAGCUGUAAUUUGUAGAGGAUGCUUCGGCGUCGGCUCCGGUCUAAGUUCCUUGCUAACAGGACUUCAUAGAGGGUGAGAAUCCCGUCUUUGACACGGACUGCCAGUGCUAUGUGAUGCGCUCUCGACGAGUCGAGUUGUUUGGGAAUGCAGCUCACAGAGGGUGGUAAAUUCCAUCUAAAGCUAUAUACAGGCGAGAGACCGAUAGCGAACAAGUACCGUGAGGGAUAGAUGAUAAGAUCUCUGGAAAGAGAGUUAAACAGUACGUGAAAUUGCUGAAAGGGAAACGCCUGAUGUCAGUUGCGUCGUCCGGGGAUCAGCCUUGCUGUUUUGCUCGGUGUAUUUCCUGGUCGACGGGUCAGCAUCGGUUUUGGCCGUCGGAAAAUGGCUCGAGGAAUGUGGCACCCUUCGGGCGUGUGUUAUAGACUCGGGUCGAAUACGGCGAUUGGGACCGAUGAACUCAGCACGACCUUAGCGUUCGGGGCUCUCGGCCCACGUCAACGUGCUUAGGAUGCUGGCAUAAUGCACUUAAGCGACCCGUCUUGCAACACGGAAGGGCGAAUUCUGCUUUACACCACGCAGUCACCUUACGUCCCC
rnacentral:rRNA from 1 species